ACACACACGGAACACACCACCAACAUGUUGCCGAAGCAACAGGCCACGGAAAUCAGCACUUCGACUGCCGUGUAAACCAGCCAACUCCAUUCAGCCAUCGCUGGAGCUGGAGGGCAGCGGAGACGGAGACGGAGAGGUCUCGGCUUCGAAUGACCAUAAAAAGCAUUGAGCAGAUGCUUUUUAUACGCAAGCAUGCAUGCGCUUCUGUGUGCACACACACACACACAACAACAGGCGUGCACUCCAUGGAGACAUCUCCAUCUGUAUUUCAUCAGUGAGUGAAAAUCUUUUUCUCACUCUAAUGAAUGUGGCUCAGUAGCCUUCUUCUGCACGAGUCGUAUCACAUUUUUUCACACAAUAAGUGAGCUCAGUAUUGUAUGGAAGAGUAUCAGGGCCGGGCAUGAGAAAAUUUGAAUUUGAAUUUCGAGAACAAUGCUGAAAUGUCGUGAAAAAAUUUGAAAUGCAGAGAAUAGUCAAACUAAACUAAGAUAUGUUUAGUUUGAAAGGCUAAAGUACCGAUACAACUAUGUAAAAGUACUAAACUACAAUAAAAAAUGAUCCUUC